UGGGGGAUAUUGCACAAUGGGCGAAAGCCUGAUGCAGCGACGCCGCGUGGGGGAUGAAGGCCUUCGGGUUGUAAACUUCUUUUGCUCUGAACAAGGCAUGCUUUUGGGGUGUGUUGAGUGUAGGGGUUGAUUAGCGCCGGCUAACUACGUGCCAGCAGCCGCGGUAAUACGUAGGGCGCGAGCGUUGUCCGGAAUUAUUGGGCGUAAAGGGCUUGUAGGUGGCUGGUUGCGUCUGUCGUGAAAGCUCAUGGCUUAACUGUGGGUUUGCGGUGGGUACGGGCUGGCUUGAGUGCAGUAGGGGAGGCUGGAAUUCCUGGUGUAGCGGUGGAAUGCGCAGAUAUCAGGAGGAAUACCAGUGGCGAAGGCGGGUCUCUGGGCUGUUACUGACGCUGAGGAGCGAAAGCGUGGGGAGCGAACAGG
rnacentral:rRNA from 1 species